CACCUGAGAGGGGCCUCCCACCCUCAGCUCAGCUGUGGCUUUGUGUAGGACCUGUGUGGGAGGCUGGAUGGAGGGGCUGGCAGGAUGGCUACCUCUGCUCAGACAACAUACAGGCAAAACCAGCUACACCAGCUGAAAGAACAAUCCCCGUGUGCUGAGCUGUGCCAGGCUUGGCACUGGCUGUGAACCACGAUGGGAAACAUGGUCAUGGCUGAAGGCCAACAAAAGUCAGCAAGUUCUGCUUUCUAAGGAAACCUUUGCACAGAUCUCCAGCACCAGAGGGCUUUGUUCUGUAAAAUGCAGAGGUGCUUCCAAGAUGACUCUUGCACUCAGAGAUACUCACGGUAUUCCCGGGUUGCUGCCAGUGGGCUUUUGGCCAGUGAUCCCAGCCCACAGAACUGGCAGAGUAUACUCAGAGCUCUUGGCCAGGAGCUCAGAGCCAUUCCCAAAGCAGAAAAUUAGUCCUUAAAAAUACUGGUCUGGCCACUACAGCUGAGGAACAGUUUCAGUGCUAUACUUGUAAGAUGCAAUUCUCAUUUCCAUCAAAAAAAUUUCUGGCUAAAACUUAUUAGAUUACAGCAGGAACAGGGUUUGUAUCAAGUGUUCAAAGACAGCCUAGAGUGACUAUUAGAUAUGGUCUGGGAAUCCAGCAAAUCGAUUUCUACUACUGGCAUGUGAGUAUUCAUAAAAAAAUAAUCUGAGUUUUCUGUUCUUUAUGUUCCUGUGUUUGUCUAAAGUGAGUGAUUACAUGGAUGACAUUUAUAAAGCACCUUGAGACCUGCAGAGUACUAGUCUAACAGCUGGGUGUUAUUAUUACUCUGUUCAGUUGAUGUUUUAUACUAUAACCAUAGCAAUGCUAUAUCUGAAUGACUUCCAAAGGUAAAAAUAAACAAUGUGGUUAUUUAACAUAAUUUCUCCCAUAAAGGGAGAUGUG